AUACGUAGGGGGCGAGCGUUGUCCGGAAUGAUUGGGCGUAAAGGGCGCGUAGGCGGCGCGGUAAGUCUGGAGUGAAAGUCCUGCUUUCAAGGUGGGAAUUGCUUUGGAUACUGCCGCGCUUGAGUGCAGGAGUGGUUAUCGGAAUUCCCGGUGUAGCGGUGAAAUGCGUAGAGAUCGGGAGGAACACCAGUGGCGAAGGCGGGUAACUGGACUGCAACUGACGCUGAGGCGCGAAAGUGUGGGGAGCAAACAGGAUUAGAUACCCUGGUAGUCCACACUGUAAACGAUGAAUGCUAGGUGUAAGAGGUAUCGACCCCUUUUGUGCCGGAGUCAACACAAUAAGCAUUCCGCCUGGGGAGUACGGCCGCAAGGUUGAAACUCAAAGGAAUUGACGGGG
rnacentral:rRNA from 1 species